AGUUUGAUCAUGGCUCAGGACGAACGCUGGCGGCGCGCUUAACACAUGCAAGUCGUACGGAUUCACUCCUUCGGGGGUGGGUCAGUGGCGAACGGGUGCGUAACACGUGAGCAAUCUGCCUGUUGGUGGGGGAUAACCAGUGGAAACGCUGGCUAAUACCGCAUGAGCUCUCCGACUCGAUUGGGUUGGAGAGGAAAGCCGCUGCAAGGCGGUGCCAGCAGAGGAGCUCGCGGCGUAUCAGGUAGUUGGUGGGGUAACGGCCCACCAAGCCGACGACGCGUAGCCGAUCUGAGAGGAUGAUCAGCCACACUGGCACUGCGACACGGGCCAGACUCCUACGGGAGGCAGCAGUAAGGAAUAUUGCGCAAUGGGCGAAAGCCUGACGCAGCGACGCCGCGUGGGGGAUGAAGGUCUUCGGAUUGUAAACCCCUUUCGGGAGGGAAGAUGGGAUGGGGUAACCCAUUCGGACGGUACCUCCAGAAGCAGCCACGGCUAACUUCGUGCUAGCAGCCGCGGUAAUUC
rnacentral:rRNA from 1 species